GCAUUAGUAGCUUAAUCUUAAAAAGCAUCGGUCUUGUAAUCCGAAGAUCGAGGGUUUAACCCCCUCCUAGUGCC
rnacentral:tRNA from 1 species